AGCUCCAAUAGCGUAUAUUAAAGUUGUUGCAGUUAAAAAGCUCGUAGUUGGACUUGUGCGGUUCCCGGGAUGUCCUCAUUCUUGAUGGUACGUUCCCGGGUCCGCAUCCUUGGGUGGAACCUGCGUGGCAUUAGGUUGUCGUGCAGGGGAUGCUCAUCGUUUACUGUGAAAAAAUUAGAGUGUUCAAAGCAGGCUUACGCCGUUGAAUAUAUUAGCAUGGAAUAAUAAGAUAGGACCUUGGUACUAUUUUGUUGGUUUGCGCACCGAGGUAAUGAUUAACAGGGACAGUUGGGGGUAUUCGUAUUCCAUUGUCAGAGGUGAAAUUCUUGGAUUUUUGGAAGACGAACUACUGCGAAAGCAUUUACCAAGGAUGUUUUCAUUAAUCAAGAACGAAAGUACG
rnacentral:rRNA from 1 species